rnacentral:lncRNA from 1 species
AACAAUUCUUAGCUUGGUUUUGAGCAACGCAGAAAACAAAUUUACAGAUAAGAAGUAUUCACCAACACUAACUAGUCUGCUGCAAACCUAGGCUACCACUUCACAUCCUCUGCUGCUGGAAUUUCCUACAGCAACAGCCCUUUUUGCCCUCAUCCAAAAUCUGAGACCAACUCUUCUGCCACAAAAGCUGUCCAGUGUGACUGUUCCAGCAGACGUAUUUGCAGACUUUAAUUUUCUUGUUCUGGCAUUGAAUUACUCCCUGCUUGAUCCUUUCCUCCUCAAACUUACAAAAAAUAAGACUGGACUUAGAGGACUUCAAGAACAUUUCCUAAUAUGACUUUUUCAGGACGAGAUCAC